UCCCCAUCAAUGUAGAGGGUAGAGUGCUCAGAUCGCUUCGUUCUUCUGAAGUCGAUUACCAUCUCCUUGGUCUUGGCUGUGUUCAGAUGCAGGUUGUUGUCGUCACACCAUUGCUUCAGAUGCUGAACGUCCUCUCUGUAGGCUGGUGGAUGUUUGUUUACAGUCUGAUGAUGGGACAUCAUGCUCUGCAUCUUCAAAGUUUGUCUCUUGAUUAUUAUUCAUACACAGUAAUGUGACGUAUGUUCAUAUCUAGUAUACCUGGACCAACCUGGUGGUCCAGGUAUACUAGAUGGAGGCUGUUUGAGUCUGAAUGUUGGAUGUUGUGUAUCUCGUGUUCUCUGGGCUUUGUUGUCCUCAGUCUUUUUGCAGGAUCAGAAAACAAAACCAGGAGGAUGCCACCUUUGGUCUUGUGAUGAAGCAAAGCUCAGUAAGAAGUGUGAUUAAAUGGUGCCCACAUGUGUGCUGCUGAGAAGAAUGUACAGGGGUGAAAUGAGUGUUUCUGAGUGAGGGAGAGAGGAGUCAUCAUCUAGAUGGGCAGGAUAUCAAUCUUGGACUGUCUAACCUGCAGGAGAAGCACUGAAUGAUCACCACACAUGAGCAUGUUCCUGCAACAUUCAGCAGCUCUG